GCCCAAGUAGUAUAGUGGUACGUUUUAUUGCAAAUAAAAAAGUCCGUAUGGGUU
rnacentral:tRNA from 1 species